rnacentral:rRNA from 1 species
CCUACGGGUGGCAGCAGUAGGGAAUUUUCGUCAAUGGGCGCAAGCCUGAACGAGCGAUGCCGCGUGAGUGAAGAAGGCCUUCGGGUCGUAAAGCUCUGUUGCGGGGGAAAAAAGGCAGCAUCAGGAAAUGGGUGCUGACUGAUGGUGCCCCGCCAGAAAGUCACGGCUAACUACGUGCCAGCAGCCGCGGUAAUACGUAGGUGGCGAGCGUUAUCCGGAUUUAUUGGGCGUAAAGCGAGCGCAGGCGGUUGCUUAGGUCUGAUGUGAAAGCCUUCGGCUUAACCGAAGAAGUGCAUCGGAAACCGGGCGACUUGAGUGCAGAAGAGGACAGUGGAACUCCAUGUGUAGCGGUGGAAUGCGUAGAUAUAUGGAAGAACACCAGUGGCGAAGGCGGCUGUCUGGUCUGCAACUGACGCUGAGGCUCGAAAGCAUGGGUAGCGAACAGGAUUAGAUACCCCUGUAGUC